CCUACGGGGGGCAGCAGCUAAGAAUCUUGCGCAAUGGGCGAAAGCCUGACGCAGCAACGCCGCGUGGAGGACGAAGGCCCUCGGGUCGUAAACUCCUUUUGCGAGGGAAGAAGAUCUGACGGUACCUCGCGAAUAAGCCACGGCUAACUACGUGCCAGCAGCCGCGGUAAUACGUAGGUGGCGAGCGUUGUCCGGAUUUACUGGGCGUAAAGAGCCCGCAGGCGGUCCGUCAAGUUUCAGGUGAAAUCUCCCGGCUCAACCGGGAGGGUGCCUGGAAAACUGGCGGACUUGAGGCAGGGAGAGGGAUGUGGAAUUCCCGGUGUAGUGGUGAAAUGCGUAGAUAUCGGGAGGAACACCAGUGGCGAAGGCGGCAUCCUGGCCCUGUCCUGACGCUCAGGGGCGAAAGCGUGGGGAGCAAACCGGAUUAGAUACCCUGGUAG
rnacentral:rRNA from 1 species